GAAGCCAUAGUGGGUGAUAGACCCGUACCGGUAGAAAGCACAUUGGUCCUCGAGUAAGGCGGGACACGUGAAAUCCUGUCUGAACAUGGGGGGACCACCCUCCAAGCCUAAGUACUCGCAUGCGACCGAUAGCGAACAAGUACCGUGAGGGAAAGGUGAAAAGCACCCCGACGAGGGGAGUGAAAGAGCACCUGAAACCGAAUGCUUACAAACAGUAGGAGGGCGCAAGCCUGACUACGUACCUUUUGUAUUAUGGGUCAGCGACUUAUGAUUGACGUGCAAGCUUAAGCCGAUAGGCGGAGGCGUAGCGAAAGCGAGUCUGAACAGGGCGAUUUAGUACGUUGAUAUAGACCCGAAACCAGUCGAUCUAUCCAUGGCCAGGCUGAAGGUGCAGUAACAUGCACUGGAGGGCCGAACAGGUAACCGUGGAAAAGGUUUCUGAUGAGUUGUGGCUAGGGGUGAAAGGCUAAUCAAACUCGGAGAUAGCUGGUUCUCUCCGAAAUAUAUUUUGGUAUAGCCUCCUGCGUUCAGUCGUGGUUGUAAAGCACUGUUUGGCCUAGGGGCCCUACCAGGUUACCGAAGUCAGAUAAACUCUGAAUGCCACGACUCCAGAGCAGGGGAGUCAGACUGCGGGGGAUAAGCUUCGUAGUCGAGAGGGAAACAGCCCAGACCACCAGCUAAGGGCCCCAAGCGCCGGCUAAGUGGAAAACGUUGUGCGAGUGCACAGACAACCAGGAUGUUGGCUUAGAGGCAGCCAUUCGUCUAAGGAGUGCGUAAUAGCUCACUGGUCAAGUGCUCGUGCGCGGAUAAUGUAACGGGGCUCAAGCCGGCCCCCGAAGCUGUGGACUUCGCCUUCGGGCGGAGUGGUAGGAGAGCGUUCUUCGUGCAGUGAAGCGGCAGCGGCAAGCUCCCGUGGAGCGCGGAGAAGUGAGAAUGCAGGCAUAAGUAACGAAAGAGGAGUGAGAAACUCCUCCACCGGAUGCCCAAGGUUUCCUGAGUAAAGCUAAUCUGCUCAGGGUUAGUCGGGACCUAAGCCGAGGCCGACAGGCGUAGGCGAUGGACAACAGGUUGAUAUUCCUGUACCACGUACCGUUCGCUAUCACCGAUGGCGGGACGGGGUAGGCUAGGGAAACCCAGGCGAUGGUCGACCUGGGGUAACCGCGUAGGGCGGGCGAUAGGAAAAUCCGUCGCCCACGAGCCUGAGACGGGAUGCCGAGCCCGCAUGGGCGAAGUUCCUGAAGCCAUGCCUCCUAGAAAAGCGUCUAGGGAGAACGGGCGUGCCCGUACCAAAACCGACACAGGUGGGCAGGUAGAGAAUACCAAGGCGAUCGGAAGAACCCUCGUUAAGGAACUCGGCAAAAUGGCCCCGUAACUUCGGGAGAAGGGGCGCCCCGGUAGAGUGAGACUCCUUCGCGGAGUCGAGCUCGAGGGGGCCGCAGUGAAACGGCCCAAGCGACUGUUUACCAAAAACACAGGUCUCUGCUAAGUCGUAAGACGACGUAUAGGGGCUGACGCCUGCCCGGUGCCGGAAGGUUACGCGGAGUUGUUAGCGGGUUCGCCCGCGAAGCAGCGAAGCUAAGCCCCGGUAAACGGCGGCCGUAACUAUCAGCUGACCGAGGUAGUUGUAAAACUCGGCUAUAUGCUGGAACACCUGUUCCUAAAAGGAUGCAGUAUCCCGCACUACUCGUGCCACUAGAUCGGUGCUUCGCGCCGACCUCCUGGCUACAGUGACAAUGUGUCGGGUGCAGGUAAUCAGCAGGAAAGGCUCUCCAUCGCGGAGAUCCCUCCUGAGCUUGGAAGCUUUCUGGCUGGUUUCGCCCUGGGCGAGGCCAGCUUCAUGAUCGUCUGCCGUCGCCGUGAGGACUACGGCAGGCGGUGGAAGCUCUCCGCCGCCUUCAACGUCUCGCAGAAGGAUCGGGCGCCGCUCGAUCUGUUCCGGGAGACGCUGGGCUGCGGGAGCAUGAGGAUGGCCGGCAAUGGCGGCUGGUACUGGGAGGUCAACGACCUGUCCAGUCUGACCGACCGCAUCGUGCCGUUCUUCGAUCGCUUCCAGCUCGUUGGGACGAAAGCCAAGGAUUUCGGGUGCUUCAGGAGCGCGGUUGCGCUCCUGGCGCAGCGAAGGCUUUCAGACGCCGACUACGUUGCCGUCCUCUCCCUAAGGGAGCAGAUGAACGGUGGCGGCAAGCGGCGCUACACGAUGGAGAGAAUCCUCAGAGACUAUACGCCGAGCUCGGUUCAAUCCUGAACUGAGAUGAGAUAGUCCGCUCUCAUGGGCGACCAUGAGAGGCGGCCAGAAAUGGUCGUCCGCCUCAAGCGCGCUGUUUCUGCUUGAGGUAUACAAGUAACACUAGGAACGGUCCUA
rnacentral:rRNA from 1 species